AUUGAUAGUGUUUUCAAUUAAGCAACAACAAGUUCUGAUUUGUCGCCUAAAUCCGCGACCACACAAUUCGACCACACAUGAUUACUGUUAGAUUUAUUCGACUGCCGGUGUAAAUCGGCAUAUAAACCUGUCAGUUCCUUGCACUGAAAUUUAUUUCCAGGUCAAAUUACCAAACUUAUUUUGCAAACUUGUUCGCAAAAUCUGGUCAAUAAUGCUCGUCCGAGUCGUUCCUGUAUUUGCGAUCCUUCUCCUAAUGGCUAUCUUCGUGGCACCAUCAAACGGAGCGCCAUCUAAAGAAAACUCUCCCAACAUUGUGAAGGCGCCAUGUAAACCGAAACCUUGUGUGAAGCCUCAUUGCAAACCCCCAGAGGUGUGGCCUGGUCCUUGCAGUUGUAGCUGUGUUCUACCGAAAAACAAAACCACUUCAUAAUAAAGCGGCUUCCUUCUCUUCUUUUGCGCCUCUCAUGCAAAGAAUGUUUUGAUGCCGCCAGUGAUGCGGAAUAGUUAACCGGGAUGUUUGGCAUUGCUGAUAAAAGCAACAAUAUGGUUUUCUCAGUUUUAUUCGUUCGUUUGUUAAGACGGUUUACUCGUAACUGUUUAUAUAAAUUUUUCUUCCAAGGUAGUGGAUUUACGUAAUAAAGCGAAU